rnacentral:lncRNA from 1 species
GUAACUGUCUCUUGAAUUGCUGAGAUUUUUCUCUUGUUUACUUGUUUUAUCUAAUUUAAACUGCUCUAGACUGUAACAUGUGUAUAGUACUGAAAAAAAAUAAUUUGUAAACAAAUUUUCUGUGGACCCUAAAUUCCACUCAUACUUUGAGCAAUAUCUGGCAUGUGGAGUCAGGACUUGAGCUAAAGACCACCCUCUGGCAGUCAUCAUUUUCAUCAACAGACCUAGUCAAAUUAUUUGCAUACAUGUAUAUAUAAAUAUUUUGCUAUGAUUUUUGGUGUUUUUUUUUAUGGGGAGGGCCUUAAUUUGAACCUUUU